GAUGAACGCUGGCGGCGUGCCUAAUACAUGCAGGUCGAGCGAACAGACGAGGAGCUUGCUCCUCUAACGUUAGCGGCGGACGGGUGAGUAACACGUGGAUAACCUACCUAUAAGACUGGGAUAACUUCGGGAAACCGGAGCUAAUACCGGAUAAUAUAUUGAACCGCAUGGUUCAAUAGUGAAAGACGGUUUUGCUGUCACUUAUAGAUGGAUCCGCGCCGCAUUAGCUAGUUGGUAAGGUAACAGCUUACCAAGGCAACGAUGCGUAGCCGACCUGAGAGGGUGAUCGGCCACACUGGAACUGAGACACGGUCCAGACUCCUACGGGAGGCAGCAGUAGGGAAUCUUCCGCAAUGGGCGAAAGCCUGACGGAGCAACGCCGCGUGAGUGAUGAAGGUCUUCGGAUCGUAAAACUCUGUUAUUAGGGAAGAACAAAUGUGUAAGUAACUAUGCACGUCUUGACGGUACCUAAUCAGAAAGCCACGGCUAACUACGUG
rnacentral:rRNA from 1 species